AGUGAACGCUGGCGGCGUGCUUAACACAUGCAAGUCGAACGAGAACGGGAUAUAGCUUGCUAUAUUUGUCAGCUAAGUGGCGCACGGGUGAGUAAUGUAUAGGUAAUAUGCCUCUUACUAAGGGAUAACAAUUGGAAACGAUUGCUAAUACCUUAUAUGCCUUUAAGACUAAAGUCUGCAAGGGAAAGAUUUAUUGGUAAGAGAUUAGCCUGUAUUGUAUCAGCUAGUUGGUGAGGUAAUGGCUCACCAAGGCUAUGACGCAUAACUGGUUUGAGAGGAUGAUCAGGCACACUGGAACUGAGACACGGUCCAGGCUCCUACGGGAGGCAGCAGUGGGGAAUAUUGCACAAUGGACGAAAGUCUGAUGCAGCAACGCCGCGUGGAGGAUGACACAUUUCGGUGCGUAAACUCCUUUUAUAUAGGAAGAUAAUGACGGUACUAUAUGAAUAAGCACCGGCUAACUCCGUGCCAGCAGCCGCGGUAA
rnacentral:rRNA from 1 species